GGAGUGAAAAUUUACAUGGAUACUCACAAUGCUAAUAAUGUAAUUCAGGUAUUGAAAAAUACAUUUACAUGUUAAAAUGUGAUGAUAGCUCAUUAUAGCAUCUCAUAACAGGUAAGAGUUAUUUCCAGAAUAACAUUAAGUCACUUUUGUAGCUCUAAGUCAAUGCUGCACAAAUGGACACUUAAGAUUAAGGCAUCGUCCUGCUCUGGAGUAGUGCUUCUGUGGAUCCCAGGAACUGUACAAAGGCUUUCUUUUUUAAAAAAAUGUCUUCUGUUAUACUUCAAUUAUUUCAUUCCAUUGAUCAUUUUCUUGCAAAUGAAAUUGAAAACAUCAGUCUAUAAUGUUUUCAUACACCUGGUAUGACGAUGCCUUCUUCAGCUCUAUUCUCUAGCCACUGAGUGAAAAUUCACUGUCCAACAAGAGUUUUUUGGAUUCACUAAGUGGUUUGAAAGGAAAAGGCUGAUUUGAGCCACUUCUGGCAUACUCAUUCUGGUUUGUAACAGAAGCUUGUUCUGGACCCAUCCCUACAAGGCGAGUUGGAAACUGCAACCAUCACCCAAGCUUGAAAAUAUUGAAAGUAGCCAAUAUUUCUUUUCAUCACCAAAGACUUGUCUCCAAUUUUUAUUGUAUCUAAGAGAGAAACCAUUUCCAUCAGGUCCACAUGAAAAUGUGGGUGCAGAGAAUGAUUCUAUUGUUGUCCUAUUUUUUCCAACUAGCCAGCAGUGGUAGCUGAAAAGUGAGAGGACGCUGAUGAAGAACAUUGCAGACACAAAGAAAAGAAAAAGUACGUGGAAUUUUGCACGCGUAUCUGUCAGUUCAUUCGUCCAAAAUUUUAUAAAGUACUCUAAAACUGUAGGCAGCCACGAAAAGGCAAUAUAAUAGGGAAUACAAUAAAAACAGCAGGAAGAAUUUGUAAUUAGAAAAUCCCACACAGUUAUUCACCCAAGGACAGUGAUGAUCCAUCUUAAGAAUACAUGAGUCACAUGUUGAGCAGUGAUGCGCCCGAUCAGGUUUAAUCAGCUGACAUUUUUCACAAUAUCUGAUAGUUUUUGAAACUGGCGUGGUACAGAUAGGUAAAGCUCUUGCUGCUCUUCUCAAAAUUUCUUGUUGUCUUUCUUGGCUGAAUUCUUUUCCAUAACGUUCCUUUUCAGAAUUGGACAAUAAACACGCACAGCUCCACCACGUACGCGUAGUAGGACCAGAUGACCACGAAGGUGAUGAGGAGCACCGGCACCCAGCCCAUGACGCAGUGGCAGCAGCGAGACAGCGUCCAGGGCGCCAUGUUCAGCUGGAGGCUGCCGACCCCCGCGUCCCACCGUUCUGGGGAGCGCAGGAGCCCUGGCUGGGCGGCAACUCAGACGCUCUGGGCUGCUCCUGGCCCAGCUUCCCCGCCUUCGAGGCAGGGCUUGUG
rnacentral:lncRNA from 1 species